GCUUCUUCUUCUUCUUCUUCUUCUUCUUCUUCGCUUGCCAGCGCUGCGCUGCCCAAGUUGCUCGCAAACGGCAAGAACAACCUGAAA
rnacentral:ribozyme from 1 species